rnacentral:rRNA from 1 species
UACAGAGGGUACGAGCGUUAAUCGGAAUGACUGGGCGUAAAAGGCGUGUAGGCGGUUUAUCAAGUGGGAUGUGAAAUCUCUGGGCUUAACCUGGGGUUGCAUCUGAGACUGAUAGGCUAGAGAGCAGUAGAGGGUAGUGGAAUUUCCGGUGUAGCGGUGAAAUGCGUAGAUAUCGGAAGGAACACCAGUGGCGAAGGCGGCUACCUGGACUGUGACUGACGCUGAGGCGCGAAAGCGUGGGGAGC